ACGGGCCAAAGAGGGGGACCUUCGGGCCUCUCGCGCCAAGAUAUGCCUAGGUGGGAUUAGCUAGUUGGUGAGGUAAUGGCUCACCAAGGCGACGAUCCCUAGCUGGUCUGAGAGGAUGAUCAGCCACACUGGAACUGAGACACGGUCCAGACUCCUACGGGAGGCAGCAGUGGGGAAUAUUGCACAAUGGGCGAAAGCCUGAUGCAGCCAUGCCGCGUGUAUGAAGAAGGCCUUCGGGUUGUAAAGUACUUUCAGUUGUGAGGAAGGGGAUGUCGUUAAUAGCGGCAUCUCUUGACGUUAGCAACAGAAGAAGCACCGGCUAACUCCGUGCCAGCAGCCGCGGUAAUACGGAGGGUGCGAGCGUUAAUCGGAAUUACUGGGCGUAAAGCGCAUGCAGGUGGUUCAUUAAGUCAGAUGUGAAAGCCCG
rnacentral:rRNA from 1 species